UACGGGGGGAGCAAGCGUUGUUCGGAUUUACUGGGCGUAAAGGGCGCGUAGGCGGCCAGCGCAAGUCAGUUGUGAAAUCUCUGGGCUUAACCCAGAACGGCCAAGUGAAGCUGACAUGCUAGAGUGCAGAAGGGGCAAUCGGAAUUCUUGGUGUAGCGGUGAAAUGCGUAGAUAUCAAGAGGAACACCUGAGGUGAAGACGGGUUGCUGGGCUGACACUGACGCUGAGGCGCGAAAGCCAGGGGAGCAAACGGG
rnacentral:rRNA from 1 species